UAAAAAAAAUGGGGUUUAAUUUUUUUUUCAUUUUUUCUGACAAAAACAAAAACAUCAUUUUCAGGAGAACGGUAGUCAAUUCUGGGACACAGAAGAGCAAAGACAAAAAUUUCUUCAUCCAUAUGAAUUCAUCAACAACAACAACUUAUGUUCCUUUCAUUAGUAUUAAAUUCACACCAACAAUGCUAGCUACAAACAUGUUGGAUUCAGCAUUUACAGUAGGUAAUUAAUUAAUUAAUUAAUUAAUUAAGAAUAUCCCAAAUUAAAGAAGCAUGAGAAGGAAUGAACUAGAGAGAAGCAGAAGAAACCAAAGCUAAAUUAUGGCAUCCAAAGAAGUGUUCUUUAGUCCAUGAGAUUAAAGGGGUGACAUUUGAAGUUAAAAGGGUAUCAAAAUUAAUGGAGAUAGAUGGAGAAACAAAAAAGGACAGAUCAGAAAAAAUUCCGACCAAAUAAGACCAUAUCUUUUCUAGAUUCAUUGUUCUGUUCCUGUCAUUUUGAUAAUAAUAUAGUUGUUUUUUUUUUUAA